rnacentral:tRNA from 1 species
GCCGCUUUAGCUCAGUCGGCAGAGCGUCUCACUCGUAAUGAGAAGGUCGCGAGUUCGAUUCUCGCAAGCGGCUCCA